GUAUUCAUUUUAGCAGCACAUGCACUAAAGUUGGAAUGCUAUGGAAAAGAGCAUCAUGGCUCCUGCGAAAGAAUGACAAACAAAUUUGUGAAACAUUCCAUAUUUUU